CCUACGGGCGGCUGCAGUGGGGAAUAUUGGACAAUGGGGGCAACCCUGAUCCAGCCAUGCCGCGUGUGUGAAGAAGGCCCUCGGGUUGUAAAGCACUUUCAGUGAGGAAGAACGCCUGGUGGUUAAUACCCAUCAGGAAAGACAUCACUCACAGAAGAAGCACCGGCUAACUCCGUGCCAGCAGCCGCGGUAAUACGGAGGGUGCGAGCGUUAAUCGGAAUUACUGGGCGUAAAGCGCGCGUAGGUGGCUUGAUAAGCCGGUUGUGAAAGCCCCGGGCUCAACCUGGGAACGGCAUCCGGAACUGUCAAGCUAGAGUGCAGGAGAGGAAGGUAGAAUUCCCGGUGUAGCGGUGAAAUGCGUAGAGAGCGGGAGGAAUACCAGUGGCGAAGGCGGCCUUCUGGACUGACACUGACACUGAGGUGCGAAAGCGUGGGUAGCAAACAGGAUUAGAUACCCUUGUAGUC
rnacentral:rRNA from 1 species